GGAGCGGCAGACGGGAGAGUAACACGUGGGAACGUGCCCUUCAGUUCGGAACAACCCAGGGAAACUUGGGCUAAUACCGGAUACGUCCGUAAGGAGAAAGAUUUAUCGCUGAAGGAUCGGCCCGCGUCUGAUUAGCUAGUUGGCGGGGUAAUGGCCCACCAAGGCGAAGAUCGGUAGCCGGCCUGAGAGGGCGCACAGCCACACUGGAACUGAAACACGGUCCAGACUCCUACGGGAGGCAGCAGUGGGGAAUUUUGCGCAAUGGGGGAAACCCUGACGCAGCAACGCCGCGUGGAGGAUGAAGUCCCUUGGGACGUAAACUCCUUUCGACCGGGACGAUUAUGACGGUACCGGUGGAAGAAGCCCCGGCUAACU
rnacentral:rRNA from 1 species